UGGGGAAUAUUGCACAAUGGGCGCAAGCCUGAUGCAGCCAUGCCGCGUGUGUGAAGAAGGCCUUCGGGUUGUAAAGCACUUUCAGCGAGGAGGAAGGUGGUGAGCUUAAUACGCUCAUCAAUUGACGUUACUCGCAGAAGAAGCACCGGCUAACUCCGUGCCAGCAGCCGCGGUAAUACGGAGGGUGCAAGCGUUAAUCGGAAUUACUGGGCGUAAAGCGCACGCAGGCGGUUUGUUAAGUCAGAUGUGAAAUCCCCGGGCUCAACCUGGGAACUGCAUUUGAAACUGGCAAGCUAGAGUCUCGUAGAGGGGGGUAGAAUUCCAGGUGUAGCGGUGAAAUGCGUAGAGAUCUGGAGGAAUACCGGUGGCGAAGGCGGCCCCCUGGACGAAGACUGACGCUCAGGUGCGAAAGCGUAGGGAGCAAACAGGAUUAGAUACCCUGGUAGUCCACGCUGUAAAACGAUGUCGAUUUUGGAGGUUGUGCCCUUGAGGCGUGGCUUCCGGAGCUAACGCGUUAAAUCGACCGCCUGGGGAGUACGGCCGCAAGGUUAAAACUCAAAUGAAUUG
rnacentral:rRNA from 1 species